rnacentral:tRNA from 1 species
GGAUAUAGCUCAGUGAUGGAGUGCAUGCUUAGCAUGUGUGAGGUCCUGGGUUUAAUUCCCAGUAUAUCCA